CGCGCAGGCGGCCUUGGAAGUUGGGCGUGAAAGCCCCGGGCUCAACCCGGGAAUAGCGCUCGAUACUCUGAGGCUAGAGUUCGGGAGAGGAGGGUGGAAUUCCCAGUGUAGAGGUGAAAUUCGUAGAUAUUGGGAAGAACACCGGUGGCGAAGGCGGCUCUCUGGACCGAUACUGACGCUGAGGCGCGAAAGCGUGGGGAGCAAACAGGAUUAGAUACCCUGGUAGUCCACGCCGUAAACGAUGUGUGCUAGACGUUGGGGGACGUAGUCCUUCGGUGUCGCAGCUAACGCGAUAAGCACACCGCCUGGGGAGUACGGCCGCAAGGUUAAA
rnacentral:rRNA from 1 species